rnacentral:rRNA from 1 species
UACGAAGGGGGCUAGCGUUGCUCGGAAUCACUGGGCGUAAAGCGCACGUAGGCGGAUUGCUAAGUCAGGGGUGAAAUCCUGGAGCUCAACUCCAGAACUGCGCUUGAUACUGGCGGUCUCGAGUCCGGGAGAGGUGAGUGGAACUGCGAGUGUAGAGGUGAAAUUCGUAGAUAUUCGCAAGAACACCAGUGGCGAAGGCGGCUCACUGGCCCGGUACUGACGCUGAGGUGCGAAAGCGUGGGGAGCAAACAGG